CUUCCUUCGUCGAGAAAGAGACAGAAAGAGUCUAGGUUUUAAGAAAAUGGAAAUAAACAGAGGAGCAGGUGAACUGAGCGGGAAGAAGAAGAAACGGGAAGGAAGCGCGAAGUUGGAGGACAAUCUGACGAGAAGCUAGCAGCAAGUCAAGGGUUCGUGAAGCAGGAAAGAAGAAAUAAAAAAAUAAGAAAAAUCAGAGUGGAUGCAAGUCUGAGCUGAGGGGGAAACAGCGAGGAGAGGCUCGGGAAAAUUUAUUGCAGCAUGAAGGAAGGAGAAGCGUCGAUCUGGGAAGGAUUUGGCGGAUGCACGCGGUUAUAAAAGGGGCCCGGAGGAGCAGGCGAUUUGAGGAGGAAGAGUGAAAAAACUUGAGAGAGGAGCGGGAGCUGGAAAACAGAGAUAGUAAUGAGGGGGAGAGCCGAGCGGAAAAGGGGAAGGAAAAGAAAGAAGAAGGAUUGAGGGAAAUACAGAGAGGCUAUCAGUUUUGGGAUUAGUUUUUGGAAGAAAAGAGAAAGAAGGAAGGAACAACAAAAAGCAGAGGAGGAAAGGACUGGGAGGUGGAAGAAUAUGAAAAACUUCUUCAGCUUCUGGCCAAUGUUCAGCUCAGAAACACAGAUGCCAAACUUAGCUGGAAUCUGAAUUAGAAUGACAUUUUUUCUGUCAAAUCUUUCUAUAGACAUUUGGAUGGCACCGGUUUCAGCAUGAUACUUAUGAUGCUUUCCCCUCUAAGCUGAUUUGGAAAGUCCAUGUUCCUUCAAGGAUUUCUUUCUUUACUUGGGAAGUUGUUAAGGAAAGCAUUCUUACAAUUGAAAAUCUUAUGAAGAGGGGCUUUCUUAUGGCCAAUAGAUGCUUCCUAUGCAAAAAUCAUGUUGAAACCAGCAAACACUUGCUCCUGUGGUGUCCGGUCACUCGAAUCUUUUGGACACAGGUCUAUAGUCUUAUGGGCUUAAACUAGGUUAUGGCAAUAGGCUUGGGAGGGGCUAUGUAUCAAGAACAAACUCAAAAGACUUAUCCCUUUAACCAUUUUUUGGGUCAUUUGGAAAGAAAGGAACAUUAGAGUUUUUGAGGGAAAAGAGAGUGAUUUUGUUGCUAUCAAGGAUAAAUGAUUUCAUUAUUUUGGUUUUAUAGUCUUUGGAAAUAACCUUGAUAGUAUGGAUGAUUUUGCUUCCAUUGUACAUAUACUAAUUGAUAUGUAGAUCUUUUGUAUAUGGGUGACUCCCCUUUGGUGUCAACACAUCAAUAGCAUACACUUUUAUUAAAAAAAAAAA